UACUGCCUCAGCUUCCUUGGUAGCUAGGACUACAGGUUAAUUUUGGAGAUUAUGUACUUUGAUCCCCAGCAACACAAGAUUUGAAGAGGAAGAAGGUGUUAUUAAAACCUUGGCGUGUUAGUGAAUGCUGCAUCUUGGGUAAGUCACUUCUCCUCUGCUGUACACUCUUGUGAUAUAAAGUGGAGGAAAAUGCCACUCUGGAAUAUUAUGGAACCAUGUAAAGAAAUGAGCUCACUACCACCCCUAACUACUUUAACAGGCAUGGCAUAAUGCAGGCAUUAAAGACUUCUACAUUGUAGAAAUUCAA